ACCCAGCAACAACCGAGCGAGCAAGCCAUGGCGGCGCUGCGCUUAGGUCUGGACGCGGCGUCGCAGCCAUGUUGCGUCCUGGCUCGCGGUGCCUUGCCGGAGAUGCGGGGUGUUGUGGGCUCCGUGGCCACCACUUGGGCUCCCCACGGAGGCCGUCGAUGGCGGUCGUGGCCCCACCCCACUCCCUCACUGCCGCAAGGCGGCGGCGGCCACCAGCCAGGCAACUGCGGGGUCAUCCCCAACUCAGCUGGACUCCAGACAGCGGCACCGCGCAAGUGCGCGACGCCAACGCAACUACCGGAGCCGGCUAGCUGCUGACGUGCGGGUGCGGAAGUGCGAGCCUGUGAGGCCUAGGCUGGUCGGUCGUCUCCACAUCGAGGGCCACGUGCUGACGAAGAGAGGUGAUUGUUGAGAAGGCUGAGAGUUAAUUAUCAACUUCUCUAAGUUACCAUAACUGCUAUACUUUUUUACAAUGACUAUCCUCAUCUUUAAUUGUUUAUGGAAGCUGAACUGAGCAUUAUGAAUCUGUAUGCUGAUUCCUAAUGAUAUAUAUCAAGAAGGCGUAAUUGUGAGAGAGACAUGAUGGUUUGAGUGCAACUUGGAGUAGCAAGCGAGCUCAUAUGCAUUGGUGAAGGAUCUUUUUAUGUUUGUGUUAAGUAGAUCAAGUCUUGUUAGAUUGAUUCAAUAGUUUUCAACUGAGUUGAUUGUAACUUGCUAUUGGAAUAUCUAUGAAUAU